rnacentral:rRNA from 1 species
UACGUAGGGACCAAGCGUUGUUCGGAUUUACUGGGCGUAAAGGGCGCGUAGGCGGCUUAACAAGUCACUUGUGAAAUCCCCAGGCUUAACCUGGGAACUGCAUCCGAUACUGGAUGGCUUGAAUCCGGGAGAGGGAUGCAGAAUUCCAGGUGUAGCGGUGAAAUGCGUAGAUAUCUGGAGGAAUACCGGUGGCGAAGGCGGCAUCCUGGACCGGCAUUGACGCUGAUGAGCGAAAGCGAGGGGAGCAAACGGG